rnacentral:lncRNA from 1 species
CGCGGGAGGCGUGGUCCCAGCGGCACCCGGAAGGAACGCAGGAGCCGCGCACAGUCGGGGCCGCGGCGGCAGCGGCGGAGGGGGCGCUGGUGACCCAAGACUGCCAGAACAAGCAACCUCAAGGCACACUGCGAGGGCUGAUAGCUGAGAGCUGCCUUCUCUGUCUGCUUCAGCCCUACACCAAGGCAUCAAAGCUUCAGUGCCUGUGGAUUGUGACCACAGGGGAGCUGUGUUGAAUCUGCAAAUCUCUGUUGUGCAUCAAGGGCAUAUCUG